rnacentral:lncRNA from 1 species
CUCCCCCCGGAGGCUCGGAACAGCUUGGGCGGGCGUUUGGUCUGGUUUGUCGCCUCAGAUGGAUCAAAAGGUUUCUGCUGAUAGGCAAAGUUGCCCCACUUUCCGCGGCGGCGACGCGGAGUUACUUUCUGCAGCGAAGCAGCCUCGAGGACCUUAAAGGGAAAAGGCGGACAGAAGGAGGGCGAGCGCACUUGAUUUCGACCUUUAAGGGAGGCCCAGAUGCUGCCAGGCCCCUCAGUUUACCUUGCGAAGUUACUUACGGAUCAGCAGCAUUUGGUCUUCGUCGGGUGAGGGAGAAACCUAGGCAUCAAAUAAAUUCUGUUUCACAGA